ensembl:lncRNA
UCAUUUUCAACAAGUUUUAUUCAAGCUAAAGUUCCAUCGUCAGUCAUAACCAAGACACAAUACAGAAGAUCUUUGAUUGAUUGAGUGUUGUCCAUUAGGCACACAUUGGAAUACAGAUCAGUCAGUCACCGACCUCUCAUUGGUCCGUUAAAUACAAUAAAAUAACACAUGACUUAUAUAAAAGUGAAUACAAUCUUCAUUAAAAAAUAUAUAAAAGGAAAGGUAACAAUAAAACCGGCUCUCCUUGAGGAGAUAUUAAGACUGUCAGAAGACGACUUCCUGAUCAGCGGGCGUGGACAUAAAGUUAAAGGUCACUACUUUGGCACUGGUGGAUAAUCCGUUCUAAUAAGACUAUUUUAAAUGUUGUAUAGAGGCACCGUGUUUCAGUGAUGGAAGUCUACCGUGUGAAGUGAUAUGAAAUGCAUAUGAUAAGGCUAAAAAGGUAUGUUUUGAAUUCUUGAUGUAGGCUUUGUGGCAUAACAUAUACUGAUAUCAUUUGAUUGAUCAAGAACCAGCGACCUGAGCUAAGUCCUGAUCAGAGUUUAAUACUUAGGAGGUCUCUAAGGAAGCAAGCUCCUCAAGUCAGAGAAAACAACACAUUUAUCCUACUAUUUUUUUUUAAAGUCUGUAAAAAAAUACACAUCAUAAAUACUUAUCAAAAGUAUUACUGGCGACUAAACAGAGGAAUGAGAGGCUGCUGGUUGAGGAGGGGGGGGGACAUCUUGCCGAUCAAUAGAAGGCCACCUUAUAGGCACCCCCUCUCCAACCACUCUGUCCCAAACGAAUAAAGGAAAUUAACUCGGGAUAAAGGCCAUUUCAGGGUACCUUUCAGAGUUUUUGAAGGACCUUUGAUGAUUUGACUGCGAGAGCCGUCUGCUAGUAGCGACCUCAGUGAGUCGUCCGGGACAGGGCUUGUACAUCAGAAUGCAUCAUGGGAGUUUUUGUUUUCGAUCCUCUGCCAUUUUGAGAGGACUCCAGAGAUUUGUAGUACCGUAAAAGCCUACAUAAACGUACCUAUACUGUAUCCUAGGCUGUUCAGAACUUUGAUUUUUUUCCACGUCUCGCAUGAGAAACACUCUCAUGUUUAAUACACAACACUGUCCCCCCUUAAUGACGAAUCAUUUCACAAUUAAUUACUAAACAAUGACCAAAACACCAUGACUAGCGUUAACGUUCUCAAGCUCCUAUUCUUCCAAAAUGGAGGCGGUCGAUGUGACGUCUCGAUGUACAAGCCCUGUUUCCUCACUCUUUGCUGCCAAAAGCUGAUCUCUAUACAUACAUCAUUCUGUUGCCAAUUCAAUUCAUUUCUCUUUGCAUAAUGGAUAAAGAAACUAAGCUAGGGCUAGUGGACUACAGUGUGUUGACGAGGAGAGUGGAUCACCCGGAUCCCCUUCCUGGCUCUUCUGCGUUACAGAGUGUCUGCGUUGAGACUGCGAUACAGACAGCAGGUGAACACCAUGCCCGUGACCUGAGGGGAGCAGAGAGGAAGACGUCAGACGGGCGAGCACACGCCCUGAGAAUCAACCCUCCUCCCAGCGGACUGCAGCGCAGCGUGCCCACAGAGACCCACGCUGCAACGCACAGACAACAUCUUCAGGCGCCUUUAAAGAGGAUAGAGACGCAUUGUGGGAAUGGAGCGCGGCGAUAUAGGAGACACAAAGAGGUCGUCGGAUGAUGUCUGGAAAGACGAGACGGACUGAAGGAGCCUUGUUGAUAUUCAAUGCAGCGCCUUCCUUCAUGUCGAGGACAAAUCGGGCGGCGUGAGGCUCAGGAGGUGGAGCGGGUCGGCUGGUGACCGGAGGGUUGCUAGUUCGAUCCCCCGGAGUGUGGAGGUGUCCCUGAGCGAGACGCCUCCCCCUGACUGCUCCUGACCAGCUGGCUGUUGCCCUGCGAGGCUGACUCCGCCGUCAGGUGUGAAUGUGUGCAUGAAGGGGUGAAUGUGAGGCAGUGUUGUACAGCGCUUAGAGUAACCACUGGGUAGAAAAGUGCAACAUAACUUCAGUCCAUUUGCAACAGGUGUGAAACACUGUCCAGUGUAUAGACUACUCUAUAAGACAAAACUCAUAUCAUAUCAACCAUUUCAGAUUUACUUCCCUCUUUUCAACAACUGGCUAUUAAGAUUAUGAAUCAAAAAAAGGAAAACGAUUGAACAUACGACUUAGUUAAUCGUGUUUAGACGACCGUGGGCAAAACCAC